rnacentral:misc_RNA from 1 species
GAUGAAGAACGUAGCGAAAUGCGAUAAUUAAUGUGAAUUGCAGAAUUCAGUGAAUCAUCGAGUCUUUGAACGCACAUUGCGCCCCCUGGUAUUCCGGGGGGCAUGCCUGUCCGAGCGUCAUUGCUGCCCUCAAGCACGGCUUGUGUGUUGGGCUUCCGUCCCUGGCAACGGGGACGGGCCCAAAAGGCAGUGGCGGCACCAUGUCUGGUCCUCGAGCGUAUGGGGCUUUGUCACCCGCUCCCGUAGGUCCAGCUGGCAGCUAGCCUCGCAACCAAUCUUUUUAACCAGGUUGACCUCGGAUCAGGUAGGGAUACCCGCUGAACUUAAGCAUAUCAAUACGCGGAGGA